rnacentral:rRNA from 1 species
AUUGAACGCUGGCGGCAUGCCUAACACAUGCAAGUCGAACGCGAAAGGGUUUCGGCCUGAGUAGAGUGGCGGACGGGUGAGUAAUGCAUCGGAAUCUGCCUUGAGGUGGGGGACAACCCAGGGAAACUUGGGCUAAUACCGCAUGAUCUCGAGAGAGCAAAGUGGGGGACCUGAGAGGGCCUCAUGCCUUGGGAGGAGCUGAUGUCCGAUUAGCUAGUUGGUGGGGUAAAGGCCUACCAAGGCGACGAUCGGUAGCUGGUCUGAGAGGAUGAUCAGCCACACUGGGACUGAGACACGGCCCAGACUCCUACGGGAGGCAGCAGUGGGGAAUAUUGGACAAUGGGGGAAACCCUGAUCCAGCAAUGCCGCGUGAGUGAAGAAGGCCUUCGGUGUAAAGCUCUUUUGUCAGGGAAGAAACACCGGACGUCUAACCACAGUCCGGGAAUGACGGUACC